GGUGUCUGAAGUCGAAGUGGUCGAGACACCAGGCUGUGACCCUGGUAAUUAGCGGGUUCGAGGCCCGUCAGACACCU
rnacentral:tRNA from 1 species